rnacentral:rRNA from 1 species
GAUGAACGCUAGCGGCAGGCUUAACACAUGCAAGUCGAGGGGCAGCACGGGUAGCAAUACCUGGUGGCGACCGGCGGAAGGGUGCGUAACGCGUGAGCAACAUGCCCUAUACAGGGGAAUAAUCCAGGGAAACUUGGUCUAAUGCCCCAUAGCAAUAAGAUAAGGCAUCUUAUUUUAUUUAAAGCUUCGGUGGUAUAGGAUUGGCUCGCGUGACAUUAGCUGGAUGGAGAGGUAACGGCUCACCAUGGCAAUGAUGUCUAGGGGUUCUGAGAGGAAGGCCCCCCACACUGGGACUGAGACACGGCCCAGACUCCUACGGGAGGCAGCAGUGAGGAAUAUUGGACAAUGGAUGGAAAUCUGAUCCAGCCAUGCCGCGUGCAGGAAGACGGCCCUAUGGGUUGUAAACUGCUUUUCUACGGGAGCAAUAAGGUCUACGAGUAGACUGAUGAGAGUACCGUAGGAAUAAGCAUCGGCUAACUCCGUGCCAGCAGCCGCGGUAAUACGGAGGAUGCGAGCGUUAUCCGGAUUUAUUGGGUUUAAAGGGUGCGUAGGCGGCUUUUUAAGUCAGCGGUGAAAUUUUGCAGCUUAACUGUAACAGUGCCGUUGAUACUGAGAGGCUAGGAUUUGGUUGCUGUGGGUGGAUGUGGUGGUGUGUACCCGUGGAAAAGCCCUUAAAGAUCCCCCAAAAUAUCGAUUGCGAAGGCAGCUCACAAAGCCAAGAUUGACGCUGAGGCACGAAAGUGUGGGGAUCAAACA